AUGGAGGUGGGUGCCUCCGUGGCAUUUUGGGAGAUUUAUCCUCGAUCCCCACUUGGCACAAAGCCCACGGUUUCAAAGGAAGCCGCAGUUGUACUUUGCACUUUGCAGAGAGAGGGGCAACAUCCCAUUGAGUUGGUUAUAGAUGACAAAUUGAAGGAUGCAAUUGAACGGUUGCCGAAGUCAGGCGGAAUAUUGCAUGUUAGCUCGUUGUUGGACAAAACAAGGAUUACCAGUGAUGAAAUCAUCUUAAUUCCCCAUGCCAGUAUUGCACUUGAUAUACAAUUGUUACUGAGGUCAAGUGAUUUGAGAUUCUGCAACAAGUAA
rnacentral:rRNA from 1 species